ensembl:lncRNA
GGUUCGACGCGCAUGCGCGGUGGGAGGAGGCUGCCGUGUUUUGGCGGCUGCUGGCUCCAGGCAGGAAGCUUCUUGUCCUCAGGCCCUGAUUGCCACCGCUGGCAGGAGGCAGAGGUGAAGCGUUGUGCCCAUGUCAUCCUCUAGCCCUUCACACUUUGGCGUUUGGCAUUUGGAUGAUGGUAUGGAAGCUUCACAAGGGCCAAAGCUUUUUGCUGGAAUAUUCUGAGAAGAGGACCUCUCAGGACCAAUUUGGCAGUUCUCUGAUACAGUGUGUCCGAGCACAGAGGGAGGACUUGAAAUCGCAGGGCUCGAGGAACCAGAUGUGGCCUCAGUGAAUGAUGAGAGGAACCGAGCACUCCCUAAGUGUGACCCCAACUCUACAGUAAGACAAGACUUAGAAUAAAAUUUUUGGAUGCACGUUAUGUACUAAAAUGAUUUGAACACUCAGAAAACUUCCAUAACAGGAGCCGUCUCUUGAUAGUUACAUUAUUCACCUCUUUUCUGUUUUUUGAUAAACUUGUUGUAAAUGAAAAUAAAGUUUAAGUGACUGUCAACUUGUGGAGCUAGACAAAACAUGAGCAGAUAAAGUACAUAAGGAAAGAAUAGCAUAGGCUGGAUCUUUGUUACACUUAUCCAACACCAUGUGCAUUGAAGAAAGCCUCUGACCAGACAAUAACAAUUAAUGAAGUUGAGAGCAAGAAGGUUUAUCACGCGUAAGGUCAUCCAGAUGGAGGAUUGUGCAGUCACUGUCAGCUUCUUUUCCUCUGCAGGUCAGACCUGUAUCAUUGGAGGAAGGAAUAUAAACACAGAUUUCAAUUUUUUACUGAGUUCAUUUUCUGACUAUAUUCACACUUUAGAGAGCCACUGAAAUAUUACAUCCACAUUUCAGAUGCUUAUAUUUUCUCCUUGUAUAAAUUCAUGAAGCAAGCCACGUGUUAAAUGGUGCAUUGUUUACAUCAUUUCCUAACAUGUAGUAAGCAAAACCAUUUUGUAAGUUCUGCUACGAAAAGAAAACAUUCAAAAUCUUUGUCCGCAGGGGUAACUUAAAUACUCUGCCAUGCUUCAUGGCUAGAAAAUUGGUACCCACUAUACUCACAAAUAAACCGCUGCCCAAAUUAAGAUACUUCCAAAGAUACUACUGGAAGUUACCUAUUUCAUUUCCUCCAUCAUUUGCUCUUUCUAGGCUGAGAACCUUCUCUAACAUACAGCACGAGGCAACGUGUUCACCAGCACAAGCAUACUUUGAGUUUUUACUAUAAUUUAAUUCAUUAUCAACUUGUCACCCAAGAAUUACACGCGUUUCAAAGAAACACAUAUUGAGCACACACAUAUCAAACCUGCAUUAGCACUACUGCUGAGCAUGUAGGGACAUGAUGCAUUUUAUAAAACAGCCACGGAUUCCAACUCCAGGUAAAGUAUUCGGGGGUUAAAAAACUGGCAUCAGCAGUGGUGCAAAAUUACUCUUAAACAAAUCAUCACAGCGAUGGCUAUCAGCUGCAGUGAAAAAGAACAAAGUGCACGAAAACUUUAGAAAAACAUGAAUUUCAGCUGCAUGGGUAACGGAAUAGUUUGUGUUUGUUAAGCACUCUACUCUCUUCUCCCUUUGUUAUUGUGUUUUCUGUUUAUUGGUGUUACCAUAAUGUUUUCAGAGAAUUGAUCCUGCAGCUGUGAGAUCUCCGGGAGUUUUGUUCCCAAGAGUGGAAACAGUCACAGCCCCCGCAAAGGUGCCUUAUGUUUAUAGAUUUGCUUGUGACUGUUCUGUCAGAUCUUGUGCUGUCCUCUUCAUUAACUGCAUGCACUGCAUUUCUUUAAUUAAAAAUAUAUGCAAGCACAAUUAUAGGUACAAAGCAGUCAAAAUACAAGUAAUUUUGUGUGGAACAUGGAGUCGCUUCGAUGGGAUUCAGAGUAAUCCUUUACAUAAUUUAGGAAGUUUUGGACACUUCCUGGUUAUCGCCAGGUAGCACGCAAUGAAAGAAAGCUACACCUACUAUUCUGAGGACUCUUUCAAAGCAUUCAUCUAAUUUCUACAGUGCUGCCAAUUCUGAUGCUUUUCCCUAGCUGCAAUCAAAUAAGGAUUUUAGAUUUGGCCUCAGCUGAAUAUACAGAUUUCGGAUUCUAACUUUAAAGUGAUUGAACCAUUUUGUUCCAGAUACUUCCAUCUCAUCUAUGUAUAAAAUCUGUAUACCAACUGUCUGUGGGCUAUGAAUAUAGUGCACAUUUUCCACUUAUCUUAGUAGUAUGUACUGCCCCAUCAUGUUUCUUUUGUGCAGAGCAAUGCAGCAACACAUUUGUGCGUUCAGUCCCGGGCACAGUAUUCCUUACACCUGCCUUAUUACUUAAAUGUGCAUAAAACAAACCCCACAGGAUGUUUAUAAAUACAAAUAAAUAAAUAAAUUCUGGGUGUUUGUCGUAAGAAGAGUUGAAAACUUACUGCAGAAGAAUAAUAAGGGCUAAAUUGAAUAUCAAAAGGUAUUAUUGUAGAGAUUACUUCAACAGAGUUUUCAAAAUAAAUACUAAGUUU